rnacentral:rRNA from 1 species
UGAGCCAAGUUUAGGGUUUCUUAAAAACCCAAAGAUGUUUGAACUGAAGAGUUUGAUCAUGGCUCAGAUUGAACGCUGGCGGCAGGCCUAACACAUGCAAGUCGAGCGGUAG